rnacentral:lncRNA from 1 species
AUGUAUAUCACUCGUUCCAUCUACAAUAUACGGAAAUGACACGACCGGGUAUUGUAAAGCUUUGAGGGACUUUUAAUGUCAAAUUCAUAUCCCUGGGCGAAGAAAUUACCAAGUUUGGAAAACACCGUGUGUACACUGACUUAUAAAAGUGUUUAUGUCUUUCAUGCUGUCUAGUCUGAGAAUAAAAGUUUGAGCAGUUUUUGAAGGUAAAAAAUAAAGGUUUAAUAUUAUUGCAAAAGU